AUUGAACGCUGGCGGCAGGCCUAACACAUGCAAGUCGAGCGGAUGAAGGGAGCUUGCUCCUGGAUUCAGCGGCGGACGGGUGAGUAAUGCCUAGGAAUCUGCCUGGUAGUGGGGGAUAACGUCCGGAAACGGGCGCUAAUACCGCAUACGUCCUGAGGGAGAAAGGGGGGGAUCUUCGGACCUCACGCUAUCAGAUGAGCCUAGGUCGGAUUAGCUAGUUGGUGGGGUAAAGGCCUACCAAGGCGACGAUCCGUAACUGGUCUGAGAGGAUGAUCAGUCACACUGGAACUGAGACACGGUCCAGACUCCUACGGGAGGCAGCAGUGGGGAAUAUUGGACAAUGGGCGAAAGCCUGAUCCAGCCAUGCCGCGUGUGUGAAGAAGGUCUUCGGAUUGUAAAGCACUUUAAGUUGGGAGGAAGGGCAGUAAGUUAAUACCUUGCUGUUUUGACGUUACCAACAGAAUAAGCACCGGCUAACUUCGUG
rnacentral:rRNA from 1 species